GAAGAUAGAGGUGCAAUAAGACUGCCAUUUUUGCAACCUCUUUCCUUCUUUCUUCUUUGCUCUGUUUCUGUUGAUUUUUAUUGAGAAAUGGGAAUCUGUCCUGGUGUGGAGAUGCUUCAGAAGCUCUUGGAGGCAUUUUUCUCUGGCCUUCUCAUGAAGUUCGGCUACGGCGGUGGAGGUGCCGGUGAGCGGAAGAGAAUUCGAGGCACGGUGGUUAUUAUGAAAAAGUGUGUCCUUGACUUCAAAGAUGUUAAGGCUUCGGUUCUCGAUCGAGUUCAUGAAUUCCUCGGAAAAGGCGUCACCAUUCAACUCAUUAGCUCCAAUCCUCCCCAAUCAGAUAGAUUAGAAGCGACCAAGAUAGGGAAGACGGCAAAUUUGGAGAAGUGGAUCUCGACGGUGAAGCCGUCGUUAACGGCGGACGAGAUGGAGUUGACAGUUUUUUUUGAAUGGGAAGAGAGAAUGGGAGAACCUGGAGGUUUUAUCAUUAAAAACCAUCAUUCUACCCAAUUUUACUUGAAGACAGUAACUUUGCAUGAUGUUCCUGGCUAUGGCUCUGUUCAUUUUGUUUGCAACUCUUGGGUUUAUCCGGCUCAUCGUUAUACUUACGACCGCGUCUUUUUCUCAAACAAGAGUUACCUUCCAAGUGAAACACCUGAGUCGCUACGGAAGUAUAGAGAAGAAGAACUUGUUAACCUUCGUGGAAGUGGCAUUGGUGAGCUUAAGGAGUGGGAUAGAGUUUACGACUACGCUUACUACAACGAUCUCGGAAUGCCAGACUCAGGCAAAAAGUAUGUACGCACUAUUCUCGGUGGCUCGAAGGAGUUUCCUUAUCCUCGAAGAGGACGUACUGGUCGAAAACCAGCAAAAGCAGAUCCAUCCUGUGAAUGCAGAUUGCCUUUAUUGAGUUUAGAUAUUUACGUGCCGAGAGACGAGCGGUUUCGGAACUUGAAAUUAUCAGAUUUUAUAGCUUAUGGUGUGAAGUCAAUUGUUCAGACAUUGGUCCCAGAGAUCAAAUCUUUAUGUGACAAAACUAUUAAUGAGUUUGAUUCCUUUCAAGAUGUUCUGGAUCUUUAUGAAGGAGGAAUGAGCCUACCAACUGAAGUAUUAGGCACCUUAAGGGAACUAGUUCCUUGGCAGUUGUUUAGGGAACUGAUGCGUUCUGAUGGCCAUCAAUUUCUGAAGUUUCCGGUGCCCGAUGUCAUCAAAGAGAGUAAAACAGCAUGGAGGACAGAUGAAGAGUUCGGUCGAGAAAUGCUUGCUGGAGUGAACCCGGUUAUCAUUCGUCGACUCGAAGAGUUCCCUCCAGCCAGCAAGUUGGAUUCUAAAACAUAUGGAAAGCAGAACAGUUCCAUAACAGAAGAACACAUAGCAGAACACUUGAAUGGACUCACUAUUGAUGAGGCUUUGGAAAUGAACAAGUUGUUCAUUCUGGAUCAUCAUGAUUCACUGAUGCCAUACAUCAGUAGAAUAAACUCAACAUCCACAAAAACAUACGCUACCCGAACACUCCUCCUUCUGCAGGACAAUGGCAUCUUGAAGCCAUUAGCAAUUGAACUAAGUCUACCCCACCCUCAAGGUUAUCAUCAUGGAGCUGUGAGCAAAGUUUUCACUCCAGCAGAAAACGGUGUCGAGGGAUCUGUUUGGCAGUUGGCUAAAGCUUAUGUUGCUGUAAACGAUUCUGGUUAUCACCAGUUGAUCAGCCAUUGGUUGAACACUCAUGCUGUGAUAGAGCCAUUCAUCAUUGCAACAAACAGACAAUUAAGUGUUGUGCACCCAAUCUAUAAGCUUCUUCAUCCACACUUCAGGGACACAAUGAAUAUUAACGCCAUGGCUAGACAAGUUCUCAUCAAUGCUGGUGGAAUUCUUGAAACCACUGUCUUCCCAGGAAAAUACGCCUUAGAAAUGUCAGCUGUUCUUUAUAAGAACUGGGUUUUCACAGACCAAGCACUACCAACUGAUCUAAUCAAGAGAGGAGUAGCAAUUCCUGAUCCAAGUAGCCCUCAUGGCCUCAAGCUUCUGAUAGAGGAUUACCCUUAUGCCGUCGAUGGACUCGAAAUCUGGUCUGCAAUUGAGAAAUGGGUUAGAGAUUAUUCUUCAUUCUAUUACAAAUCAGAUAAAAUGGUUCAAGAAGACACAGAAAUUCAAUCAUGGUGGACAGAGCUUCGCACUGUCGGCCAUGGGGAUUUGAAAGACGAACCAUGGUGGCCUAAAAUGAACACAAGAGAAGACUUAAUCCAAUCAUGCACUAUCAUUAUUUGGAUAGCAUCAGCCCUGCACGCCGCUGUGAACUUCGGGCAAUACCCCUACGCUGGGUACCUCCCGAACCGGCCGACGGUGAGUCGGCGGUUCAUGCCGGAACCAGGGACGCCGGAGUUUAGAGAGCUGGAGACGGACCCGGAGUUAGCUUACUUGAAGACGAUCACGGCACAACUACAAACGAUAUUGGGGGUGUCGCUGAUUGAGAGCUUGUCUCGACAUUCGGUGGAUGAGAUUUAUCUGGGGCAAAGAGACACGGCGGAGUGGACUAAGGAUGAAGAAGCUGUGGCGGCGUUUGAGAGAUUUGGGAAUCGGUUGAGGGAGAUUGAAGAGAAGAUAAUGAGGAUGAACAAUGAAGAGAAAUGGAGGAAUCGAGUUGGGCCUGUGAAAAUGCCUUACACAUUUCUGUUCCCUAAUACCUCCAAUUACUAUGAAGAAGAAGGCCUCAAUGCCAGAGGAAUCCCAAAUAGCAUUUCCAUUUGAAAAACCCUUCUUUCAUUUUUUUCAGAUUAUGUGAGGCUACAAAUUGGGUUUGAUUAAUAAAAUAAUGUUUUUUUU
rnacentral:misc_RNA from 1 species